rnacentral:rRNA from 1 species
UUCGAACCAUUAUGAAAGGUACAGCCUGCCCAGUGACCCAAUGUUCAACGGCCGCGGUAUCCUAACCGUGCGAAGGUAGCGUAAUCACUUGUUCUUUAAAUGAGGACUAGUAUGAAUGGCAUCACGAGGAUUAUGCUGUCUCCUUUUUCCAAUCAGUGAAACUAAUCUCCUCGUGAAGAAGCGAGGAUUAUUUUAUAAGACGAGAAGACCCUAUGGAGCUUUAAACUAACCAGCAUUUGCUAUAUUACAUAAUUUUUCAGAAACCCAAAAAACAAUUUAGCUCUUUGACUAUAAGUUUUCGAUUGGGGUGAUCACGGAACAAAAAAUAACCUCCGUGCCGAAAGGACUCUUCCUGAGCCAAAAGUGACAACCUUAAGCACUAAAAAAUUAACGAUUAUUGACCCAAUAAUUUGAUCAACGAAC